rnacentral:rRNA from 1 species
UACGGAGGGGGCAAGCGUUGUUCGGAAUUACUGGGCGUAAAGGGCGUGUAGGCGGCUUUAUAAGUCAGACGUGAAAGUCCUGGGCUUAACCUGGGGAUUGCGUAUGAGACUGUGAGGCUAGAGUGCGAGAGAGGAGAGUAGAAUUCCAAGUGUAGAGGUGAAAUUCGUAGAUAUUUGGAGGAAUACCGGUGGCGAAGGCGGCUCUCUGGAUCGUAACUGACGCUGAGGCGCGAAAGCGUGGGGAGCAAACAGG